UGGGGGCCAGACUUUUUCCGGAAUUUUUUGGGCGUAAAACGCGCGCAGCCUUAGUUUUUGAUCUUGGUUCAGAAUGCACCGCGGGCGACGGGCGUAAAUCCAUUCAAGUCGAGCGAACUGAUUAGAAGCUUGGUUAUAGGACGUUAGCGGCGGACGGGUGAGUAACACGUGGGCAACCUGCCUGUAAGACUGGGAUAACUUCGGGAAACCGAAGCUAAUACCGGAUAGGAUCUUAUCCUUCAUGGGAGAUGAUUGAAAGAUGGUUUCGGCUAUCACUUACAGAUGGGCCCGCGGUGCAUUAGCUAGUUGGUGAGGUAACGGCUCACCAAGGCAACGAUGCAUAGCCGACCUGAGAGGGUGAUCGGCCACACUGGGACUGAGACACGGCCCAGACUCCUACGGGAGGCAGCAGUAGGGAAUCUUCCGCAAUGGACGAAAGUCUGACGGAGCAACGCCGCGUGAGUGAUGAAGGCUUUCGGGUCGUAAAACUCUGUUGUUAGGGAAGAACAAGUACAAGAGUAACUGCUUGUACCUUGACGGUACCUAACCAGAAAGCCACGGCUAACUACGUGCCAGCAGCCGCGGUAAUACGUAGGUGGCAAGCGUUAUCCGGAAUUAUUGGGCGUAAAGCGCGCGCAGGCGGUUUCUUAAGUCUGAUGUGAAAGCCCACGGCUCAACCGUGGAGGGUCAUUGGAAACUGGGGAACUUGAGUGCAGAAGAGAAAAGCGGAAUUCCACGUGUAGCGGUGAAAUGCGUAGAGAUGUGGAGGAACACCAGUGGCGAAGGCGGCUUUUUGGUCUGUAACUGACGCUGAGGCGCGAAAGCGUGGGGAGCAAACAGGAUUAGAUACCCUGGUAGUCCACGCCGUAAACGAUGAGUGCUAAGUGUUAGAGGGUUUCCGCCCUUUAGUGCUGCAGCUAACGCAUUAAGCAUUCCGCCUG
rnacentral:rRNA from 1 species